rnacentral:rRNA from 1 species
GACGAACCGUGCGAACGUUGUUCGGAUUCACUGGGCUUAAAGGGCGCGUAGGCGGGUGCUCAAGUCCGGGGUGAAAUCCUCCAGCUCAACUGGAGAACUGCCUCGGAUACUGGGUGCCUCGAGGGUGGUAGGGGUAUGCGGAACUAUCGGUGGAGCGGUGAAAUGCGUUGAUAUCGAUAGGAACUCCGGUGGCGAAGGCGGCAUACUGGACCACUUCUGACGCUGAGGCACGAAAGUGUGGGGAUCAAACAGG